rnacentral:rRNA from 1 species
UACGUAGGGUGCAAGCGUUGUCCGGAAUUAUUGGGCGUAAAGAGCUCGUAGGCGGUUUGUCGCGUCUGCUGUGAAAACUCGGGGCUUAACCCCGGGCCUGCAGUGGGUACGGGCAGACUAGAGUGCGGUAGGGGAGACUGGAAUUCCUGGUGUAGCGGUGAAAUGCGCAGAUAUCAGGAGGAACACCGGUGGCGAAGGCGGGUCUCUGGGCCGUAACUGACGCUGAGGCGCGAAAGCUAGGGGAGCGAACGGG